rnacentral:rRNA from 1 species
GACGAACGCUGGCGGCGUGCUUAACACAUGCAAGUCGAACGGAAAGGCCCUGCUUUUGUGGGGUGCUCGAGUGGCGAACGGGUGAGUAACACGUGAGUAACCUGCCCUUGACUUUGGGAUAACUUCAGGAAACUGGGGCUAAUACCGGAUAGGAGCUCCUGCUGCAUGGUGGGGGUUGGAAAGUUUCGGCGGUUGGGGAUGGACUCGCGGCUUAUCAGCUUGUUGGUGGGGUAGUGGCUUACCAAGGCUUUGACGGGUAGCCGGCCUGAGAGGGUGACCGGCCACAUUGGGACUGAGAUGCGGCCCAGACUCCUACGGGAGGCAGCAGUGGGGUAUUUUGCACAAUGGGCGGAAGCCUGAUGCAGCAACGCCGCGUGCGGGAUGGCGGCCUUCGGGUUGUAAACCGCUUUCGCCUGUGACGAAGCGUGAGUGACGGUAAUGGGUAAAGAAGCACCGGCUAACUACGUG